rnacentral:tRNA from 1 species
AAGGAUUUAAGUUAAUUUAAACUAUUAACCUUCAAAGUUAAAAAUAGAACUUUUCUAAGCCUUA